UUUCUUUUUGAACUUGUUUACUCACCAAACGUUGAAUGACUUUAUUAUCGGAUCAUCGGCGCUAACCAUUAAUUUUAAAAAUUCGAGCGGCUAAAAAUACGUAAAGCGUCGGACACAGCACCCAUGGUGCCCGACGGGAUAACAUUAGUUAUUCAAAAAGAAAGCGUUUUUCCUCUUUGAACUUGUUUACUCACCAAGUGUUAAAUGACUUUAUUGUCGGAUCGUCGGCGCUAACUAUUAAUUCCAAAAGUUCAAGCGGUUAGAAAUACGCAACUAAUUUACUUAAAACGUGUUAUAUUUGGUUCUGUACGCUUGAGA
rnacentral:lncRNA from 1 species